ACCCAGACUCCUACGGGAGGCAGCAGUGGGGAAUAUUGCACAAUGGGGGAAACCCUGAUGCAGCGACGCCGCGUGAGCGAUGAAGUAUUUCGGUAUGUAAAGCUCUAUCAGCAGGGAAGAAGAUGACGGUACCUGACUAAGAAGCCCCGGCUAACUACGUGCCAGCAGCCGCGGUAAUACGUAGGGGGCAAGCGUUAUCCGGAUUUACUGGGUGUAAAGGGAGCGUAGACGGCGAUGCAAGCCAGAUGUGAAAGCCCGGGGCUCAACCCCGGGACUGCAUUUGGAACUGUGUGGCUGGAGUGUCGGAGAGGCAGGCGGAAUUCCUAGUGUAGCGGUGAAAUGCGUAGAUAUUAGGAGGAACACCAGUGGCGAAGGCGGCCUGCUGGACGAUGACUGACGCUGAGGCUCGAAAGCGUGGGGAGCAAACAGGAUUAGAUACCCGCGUAUA
rnacentral:rRNA from 1 species